GACGAACGCGGGCGGCGUGCCUAAUACAUGCAAGUUGAGCGCUGAAGGUUGGUACUUGUACCGACUGGAUGAGCAGCGAACGGGUGAGUAACGCGUGGGGAAUCUGCCUUUGAGCGGGGGACAACAUUUGGAAACGAAUGCUAAUACCGCAUAAAAACUUUAAACACAAGUUUUAAGUUUGAAAGAUGCAAUUGCAUCACUCAAAGAUGAUCCCGCAUUGUAUUAGCUAGUUGGUGAGGUAAAGGCUCACCAAGGCGAUGAUACAUAGCCGACCUGAGAGGGUGAUCGGCCACACUGGGACUGAGACACGGCCCAAACUCCUACGGGAGGCAGCAGUAGGGAAUCUUCGGCAAUGGACGAAAGUCUGACCGAGCAACGCCGCGUGAGUGAAGAAGGUUUUCGGAUCGUAAAACUCUGUUGGUAGAGAAGAACGUUGGUGAGAGUGGAAAGCUCAUCAAGUGACGGUAACUACCCAGAAAGGGACGGCUAACUACGUGCCAGCAGCCGCGGUAAUACGUAGGUCCCGAGCGUUGUCCGGAUUUAUUGGGCGUAAAGCGAGCGCAGGUGGUUUAUUAAGUCUGGUGUAAAAGGCAGUGGCUCAACCAUUGUAUGCAUUGGAAAACUGGUAGACUUGAGUGCAGGAGAGGAGAGUGGAAUUC
rnacentral:rRNA from 1 species